AUUUGCCCAAGAAUUGAUGUUUGGCAUAGUGCUUAGUCUUAAUUUGCCCAAGAAUUGAUGUUUGGCAUAGUGCUUAGUCUUUUGGAGUAAGUAGAUAAGGCGAUAAGCAGCACAAAACACAGACAGUUACAUAACUACAGUUUGAGAGCAUACUAAUAUUCAUGGUGUUCUCGUUGCAGUCGAGGAUGAGAAAGGGAACGGGAAGUCCUUUGGCAUCAACUACACCACCGACCCCGGCUUCUCACUCAGGUGGCGGAAAAGAUUGUUGUGAGCGGGAGGCUUCUCCGCUAUCUACUAUAGUGUCUGCUUCAUCAACUGAACCCGACUCUGCACAUAAAAUAUCCAUGACUUCACCCGAGGUCGAGAACAAGGAGGGCUGCUGCUGCUGCUGCUUGUGCUCCGGUGCCUGAACCAGCUGGGACAACAUCUAAUGUUGCAUGCGCUUCUGCUUCUCGCAAUGUGUCGACUUCAUGUUUGCCUGAAGCUGCAGGUGCUAAAGACCCAAAUAUAACAUCAACUGAUAAGAACCCAUAGAUCCUGUUAGACAUCCUUACUUACAUUCAUGCAAAAUACAGCAGUGGGGUGGCUAUUUGGAAUAUUAUGCCUCAUCUCAGCCUAGUUAAAGAGCACCAUCUCCCCACUUCUCAACCUGUUUGUACUUAUAAUCUUCUGUUAGG